rnacentral:rRNA from 1 species
CCUACGGGAGGCAGCAGUAAGGAAUAUUGGUCAAUGGGCGCAAGUCUGAACCAGCCAUGCCGCGUGCAGGAUGACGGCCCUCUGGGUUGUAAACUGCUUUUAUAGGGGACGAAAAAAGGGCUUUCUAGCUCGUCUGACGGUACCCUAGGAAUAAGCACCGGCUAACUCCGUGCCAGCAGCCGCGGUAAUACGGAGGGUGCAAGCGUUAUCCGGAUUUACUGGGUUUAAAGGGUGCGUAGGUGGGUCGGUAAGUCAGCGGUGAAAUCUUCGAGCUUAACUCGGAAACUGCCAUUGAUACUAUCGAUCUUGAAUCAUCUGGAGGUAAGCGGAAUAUGUCAUGUAGCGGUGAAAUGCUUAGAUAUGACAUAGAACACCAAUUGCGAAGGCAGCUUACUACGGAUGCGAUUGACACUGAGGCACGAAAGCGUGGGGAUCAAACAGGAUUAGAUACCCUGGUAGUCCACGCCCUAAACGAUGGAUACUCGACAUUUGAGAUAUACUUUAAGUGUCUGNGAGAGANAUAGUAUACCACGNGGUAAGUAGAGUUGNGAGAGUUAGAACGACGAGAGAGAGNGNGNGAGNGNGACGACGACGACGAGGAGGAGGAGG